UACGUAGGGGGCGAGCGUUGUCCGGAUUUAUUGGGCGUAAAGCGUCCGCAGGCGGUGUGGCAAGUUCGAGGUGACAGUGCGCGGCUUCACUGCGCAAGGUCCUCGAAAACUGGCACACUUGAGGGCUUCAGAGGGACCUGGAAUUCCGGGUGGAGUGGUGAAAUGCGUAGAUAUUUGGAGGAACACCAGUGGCGAAAGCGGCUUUCUGGGACAUUCCUGACACUGAGGUUCGAAAGCUCGGGGAGCAAACAGG
rnacentral:rRNA from 1 species